rnacentral:rRNA from 1 species
AUUCCAGCUCCAAUAGCGUAUAUUAAAGUUGUUGCAGUUAAAAAGCUCGUAGUUGAAUUUUGGGUUCGGUUGACUGGUCUGCCUUUGGUUUGAACUGGUCGACUGAACCUUUCCUUCUGGCGAACUCUUGUGCUAUUAAUUUAGUGCGAUUGGGAACCAGGACUUUUACUUUGAAAAAAUUAGAGUGUUUAAAGCAGGCUCACGCUUGAAUACAUUAGCAUGGAAUAAUAAAAUAGGACUUUGGUUUUAUUUUGUUGGUUUCUAAGACCGAAGUAAUGAUUAAUAGGGAUAGUUGGGGGCAUUAGUAUUUAGUCGUCAGAGGUGAAAUUCUUGGAUUGACUAAAGACUAACUUCUGCGAAAGCAUUUGCCAAGGAUGUUUUCAUCA